rnacentral:rRNA from 1 species
CCUACGGGAGGCAGCAGUGAGGAAUAUUGGUCAAUGGCCGCAAGGCUGAACCAGCCAAGUAGCGUGAAGGAUGACUGCCCUACGGGUUGUAAACUUCUUUUAUAAAGGAAUAAAGUUAUCCACGUGUGCCUUUUUGUAUGUACUUUAUGAAUAAGGAUCGGCUAACUCCGUGCCAGCAGCCGCGGUAAUACGGAGGAUCCGAGCGUUAUCCGGAUUUAUUGGGUUUAAAGGGAGCGUAGAUGGGUUGUUAAGUCAGUUGUGAAAGUUUGUGGCUCAACCGUAAAAUUGCCAUUGAUACUGGCAGUCUUGAGUAUAGUUGAGGUAGGCGGAAUGCGUGGUGUAGCGGUGAAAUGCAUAGAUAUCACGAAGAACUCCGAUUGCGAAGGCAGCUUACUAAGCCGUAACUGACACUGAUGCACGAAAGCGUGGGUAUCAAACAGGAUUAGAUACCCGGGUAGUC